rnacentral:tRNA from 1 species
CAGAAAAUAGUUUAUAUAAAACUUUGUCUUUGGGUGCCAAUAAUCAGUUUAUACUGUUUUCUGA